rnacentral:tRNA from 1 species
AUUUCAACAGUAUACAAAGUACGCUUAAUUUCCAAUUAAGAAGAAAAAAGAAACA